AGGGCGGUGGGGCACUGAACCAGCUCCAAACUGCUGGCAGAGCUGGCCAGAGUGAGGAAGUGAGGUUCCCAAGCACAGAAGGCACAUCAAAAAGGAAUGCCUCCUCCAGGAAGGCACUACACUGCCAAAGGAGGUGUGGCCUCGCCCGGCUCGAAAAGAGGUCAUUUUCAGAACAUGGGACUCUCCAAGCCCUGAGGACAGGAGGCAGCCUGGGGAGUAUGAACCUCGUGCCUGGUAGGGGACCCCACACCCGAGGUACCACCCAAAACACAGCCCAGAUCUGCACGGAGGGAUGGUCCUGGGAGGUCGAGGUUGCACCUAGCUGGCGCCACUACACUCCAGCCCGGAUGACAGAGCCAGACUGUCUCAAAAAAACAAUAAAAAUUCACGCCUUGUAAUAAGGAAUUAAAGGCAGGAUGAACAAACAUUUUCUUCUUUUUUUUUUUUUUUGCUUUUUGAGAUGGAGUCUUUUUCUGUAGCCCAGGCUGGAGUGCAGUAAUGUGAUCUCGGCUCACUGCAACCUCCGCCUCCCGGGUCCUGGUUCAAACAAUUCUCCUGCCUCAGCCUCCCAAGCAGCUGGGAUUACAGGCACGUGCCACCACACCCAGCUAAUUUUUGUAUUUUUAGUAGAGACGGGGUUUCACCAUGUUGGCCAGGCUGGUCUUGAACUCCUGACCUCGUGAUCCGCCCGCCUCGGCCUCCCAAAGUGCUGGGAUUACAGGCGUGAGCCACCGCGCCCGGCCUUAAAGAUUUUCUUUCCAAAUCAAAGUAUUAAAAUAACUGUUCAGACCUCUCCCACUUCGAUGCGAGGCCAGCGCGGUCCCAGGCGGACGAGCGAAGGCAUCGAAGGCCGGGGGCGCAGCCGCGGGCCCACCUCGGCCUCCCCUGAGCGGACGCCUCCCCGCGCGCACCGGGGGCCCCGGAGACCGCCUUCCCCGCCUUCCCCGCUCCGAACGCACGCGGCCCGGCCCCGGGGAGGUGCCUGAACGCUACCCGAGCUGCGGCGGGGCCCCCGGGGUGAGUGCUGCAGCCCCAGGCCCGCCUGCUCCCACAGGCUCGGGCAAUGGAGACCCGCGGCCUCCCGCGCCCCUUGACCCUGCCUCACCCCUCACGCCCGCUGCCGCCCACGACCUCCGACCCCGCCGCCCCCCGGCCCGCAGCCCGGCUCGGCUGGCCUCACCUCCCGCGGGUUCCGCACUCCUCUUGGCGCCGUCCUGCUCCUCUCGGCCUUCUCCUCCAAUAGGCGCCUAGCACCCUGAGUGGGCUACACCAAUCAGAGACGAAGCGACGCUAACGUGACUGACUAACUAACCAAUCCA
rnacentral:lncRNA from 1 species